GCAAACUUGGUCAUUUAGAGGAAGUAAAAGUCGUAACAAGGUUUCCGUAGGUGAACCUGCGGAAGGAUCAUUAACAAAUCCAUUGGCGCAGCAUCCAAAUGCUACCAUGCAUGAGGAUGUUUGCGACAUUUGUUCCAUGUGCAUUGUUCACUCUGCACAUUGUGUUCACAUUUCUACGAAUUAUCUGAUUGUCAUAAAAAUUACAAAAUAUCAACUUUUAACAAUGGAUCUCUAGGCUCCUGCAUCGAUGAAGAACGCAGC
rnacentral:misc_RNA from 1 species